rnacentral:tRNA from 1 species
UGGGAUGUAGUUUAGUGGUUGAAUGCAUGAUUAGCAUGCAUAGGUCCUGGGUUCAGUCCCAGCACCACAA